rnacentral:rRNA from 1 species
AGCAGCCGCGGUAAUUCCAGCUCCAAUAGCGUAUAUUAAAGUUGUUGCAGUUAAAAAGCUCGUAGUUGAAUUUCGGGGUCAGUAGGCUGGUCGUGCCACUGGUACGUACUGGUCUCACUGACUCCUCCUUCCUGAUGAACUGUAAUGCCAUUAAUUUGGUGUUGCAGGGAAACUGGACUGUUACUUUGAAAAAAUUAGAGUGUUUAAAGCAAGCUAACGCUUGAAUACAUUAGCAUGGAAUAAUGAAAUAGGACGUUCGAUCCUAUUUUGUUGGUUUCUAGGAUUGACGUAAUGAUUAAUAGGGAUAGUUGGGGGCAUUAGUAUUCAAUUGUCAGAGGUGAAAUUCUUGGAUUUAUUGAAGACUAACUACUGCGAAAGCAUUUGCCAAGGAUGUUUUCAUUAAUCAAGAACGAAAGUUAGGGGAUCGAAGACGAUCAGAUACCGUCGUAGUCUUAACCAUAAACUAUGCCGACUAGGGAUCGGAUGAUGUUAAUUUUUAAUGA